GACGGAGGAUGCAAGCGUUAUCCGGAAUGAUUGGGCGUAAAGCGUCCGCAGGUGGCAGUUCAAGUCUGCUGUCAAAGACCGGGGCUUAACUUCGGAAAGGCAGUGGAAACUGAACAGCUAGAGUAUGGUAGGGGCAGAGGGAAUUCCUGGUGUAGCGGUGAAAUGCGUAGAGAUCAGGAAGAACAUCGGUGGCGAAGGCGCUCUGCUGGACCAUAACUGACGCUGAGGAGCGAAAGCGUGGGGAGCGAACAGG
rnacentral:rRNA from 1 species